AGUGAACGCUGGCGGUAGGCCUAACACAUGCAAGUCGAACGGCAGCACAGUAAGAGCUUGCUCUUACGGGUGGCGAGUGGCGGACGGGUGAGGAAUACAUCGGAAUCUACUUUUUCGUGGGGGAUAACGUAGGGAAACUUACGCUAAUACCGCAUACGACCUACGGGUGAAAGCAGGGGAUCUUCGGACCUUGCGCGAUUGAAUGAGCCGAUGUCGGAUUAGCUAGUUGGCGGGGUAAAGGCCCACCAAGGCGACGAUCCGUAGCUGGUCUGAGAGGAUGAUCAGCCACACUGGAACUGAGGAAAGGUCCAGAAUCCUACGGGAGGCAGCAGUGGGGAAUAUUGGACAAUGGGGGGAAGCCUGAUCCAGCCAUAACGCGUGGGUGAAGAAGGCCUUCGGGUUGUAAAACCCUUUUGUUGGGAAAGAAAAGCAGCAGGUUAAAAACCCGCUGUUCUGACGGUACCCAAAGAAUAAGCACCGGCUAACUUCGUG
rnacentral:rRNA from 1 species